CAUAUUAACAGGGGGAGCUGGAGAAAACCGGCUGAGAGGAAGCGUAAUUCCGUUUCGACCCUUUACCUGAUUUGGAUAAUGCCAACGGAGGGAUUCAUACCAUGUAUUGAU
rfam:Dorea sp. 42_8 Ley3_66761_scaffold_13837, whole genome shotgun sequence.